rnacentral:rRNA from 1 species
UAAAGCAAGAAAGGGCGUAUGGGGAAUGCCUAGGCACACUCCGGCGAAGAAGGACGCAGCAAACAGCGAAAUGCGACGGUGAGCGGUAAGCACGUGAAGAGCCGUCGAUAUCCGAAUGGGGGAACCCACACGGAGUCAUAUCCGUGUAUCACAUGUCGAAUACAUAGACAUGAUGAGGCGAGACGCAGGGAACUGAAACAUCUAAGUACCUGCAGGAAGAGAAAAUAAGAAUGAUUUUCUGAGUAGCGGCGAGCGAAAGGGAAAGAGCCCAAACCGAUUUUAGGAUCGGGGUAGUAGGAUCAUCGAUAAAUCAAACAGAGGAUCAUAGAGGAAUCACAUGGGAAGGUGAGCGAGAGAGGGUGAGAGCCCCGUACUCGAAAUGAGAGACUGGAGAGAGAUGACACCUGAGUAGGGCGGGACACGAGAAAUCCUGUCUGAAUCAGCCGGGACCAUCCGGCAAGGCUAAAUACGAGAGAGUGACCGAUAGUGAACCAGUACCGUGAGGGAAAGGUGAAAAGAACCCCGGGAGGGGAGUGAAAGAGAACCUGAAACCAUAUGCCUACAAGAAGUCAGAGCCCGUUAAAGGGUGAUGGCGUGCCUUUUGUAGAAUGAACCGGCGAGUUACUGUAUGGAGCGAGGUUAAGCAGGAUAUGCGGAGCCGAAGCGAAAGCGAGUCUUAAGAGGGCGCGAGUUGCAUGCAGUAGACCCGAAACCGGGUGAUCUAGCCAUGACCAGGUUGAAGUUGGGGUAAAACCCGAUGGAGGACCGAACCGACCCCCGUUGAAACGUUGGCGGAUGAGUUGUGGCUAGGGGUGAAAUUCCAAUCGAACCCGGAGAUAGCUGGUUCUCCCCGAAAUAGCUUUAGGGCUAGCGUCGAGAGAAGAGUUGCGUGAAGGUAGAGCACUGAAUAUGUGAUGGCCCCAUCUCGGGGUACUGAGCAUAAUCAAACUGCGAAUGUCACGCCAACAUGCUCGGCAGUCAGACAGCGGGUGAUAAGGUCCGUUGUCAAGAGGGAAACAGCCCAGACCAUCAGCUAAGGUCCCAAAAUGUAUGCUAAGUGGAAAAGGAUGUGGAGAUGUACAGACAACUAGGAGGUUGGCUCAGAAGCAGCCAUCCUUUAAAGAGUGCGUAACAGCUCACUAGUCGAAUGACUCUGCGCCGAUAAUUUACCGGGGCUAAGCAUACUACCGAAGCUAUGGAUCCCAAGGGAUGGUAGGGGAGCGUUCCAUGAACGGAGAAGUACGACCGAAAGGACGUGUGGAGAUCAUGGAAGAGAGAAUGCCGGUGUGAGUAGCGGAACGUGGGUGAGAAUCCCACGCACCGAAAACCCAAGGUUUCCAGAGGAAGGUUCGUCCGCUCUGGGUAAGUCGGGACCUAAGGCGAGGCCGAAAGGCGUAGUCGAUGGACAACAGGUAGAUAUUCCUGUACCCGUAUAUAUGUGAAGGAAUGACGGAGAGAGGAAGCUGCAGCCAGCGGCUGGAAGAGCUGGUGCAAGCGAGAUAUCGGGAUGGCAGGCAAAUCCACCAUCCGAAACGAGAAGGCGUGAAGCGUACGGAAAGCUACGGCGAGUACGGAAGGCAGUGGAGGAACUUCCAAGAAAAGUUUCUAACGUUAAGUAUAUAUGGCCCGUACCGAAAAUGGACACACAUGGGUGAGGAGAGAAUCCUAAGGUGAGCGAGAGAACUAUAGCUAAGGAACUCUGCAAAAUGACUCCGUAACUUAGGGAGAAGGAGUGCUCAUAGAGAUAUGAGCCGCAGUGAAACGGCCCAAGCGACUGUUUACCAAAAACACAGCUCUCUGCUAAGCCGCAAGGCGAAGUAUAGGGGGUGACGCCUGCCCGGUGCUGGAAGGUUAAGGGGAGGGGUUAACGCAAGUGAAGCCCUGAACUGAAGCCCCAGUAAACGGCGGCCGUAACUAUAACGGUCCUAAGGUAGCGAAAUUCCUUGUCAGGUAAGUUCUGACCCGCACGAAUGG